rnacentral:rRNA from 1 species
UAACGCGUGGGAAUCUGCCCUGGAGUGGGGGAUAACCCGGCGAAAGCCGGGCUAAUACCGCAUACGUCCUGAGGGAGAAAGAUUUAUCGCUCUAGGAGGGGCCCGCGUCGGAUUAGCUAGUUGGUGAGGUAACGGCUCACCAAGGCGACGAUCCGUAGGUGGUCUGAGAGGAUGAUCAGCCCCACUGGGACUGAGACACGGCCCAGACUCCUACGGGAGGCAGCAGUGGGGAAUAUUGGACAAUGGGGGCAACCCUGAUCCAGCAAUGCCGCGUGAGUGAUGAAGGCCUUAGGGUUGU